rnacentral:RNase_P_RNA from 1 species
UGAGUAAGAAGUAUGGUCGCAUGUCGUAGACAUGAGGAAAGUCCGUGCUCCAAAGAGCGAGAUGCUGGAUAACACCCAGUGGGGGCAACCCUAAGGAAAGUGCAACAGAAAUAGACCGCCAUUUUUAUGGUAAGGAUGGAAAGGCGAGGUAAGAGCUCACCAGCGUUUAGGCGACUAAGCGGCUCUGUAAACCCCAUCAGGAGCAAGACCAAAAGGGAGCCUAGUAAGGUAGCUGCUCGUUACCGCUCCAAAGGUAGGUUGCAUGAGCCUAUUGGCAACAAUAGGCCUAGAUAGAUGGCCAUAACAACAGAACACGGCUUACUAACUCACUCACACA